UACGGAGGAUGCAAGUGUUAUCCGGAAUCACUGGGCGUAAAGCGUCUGUAGGUGGUUUGCUAAGUCCGCUGUUAAAGCUUGAAGCUCAACUUCAAAAAUGCAGCGGAAACUAGUAGACUUGAGUGUGGUAGGGGUAGAGGGAAUUUCCAGUGAAGUGGUGAAAUGCGUAGAUAUUGGAAAGACCACCAAUGGCGAAGGCACUCUACUGGGCCACAACUGACACUGGAGAGACGAAAGCUAGGGGAGCAAAUGGG
rnacentral:rRNA from 1 species